AGUGAACGCUGGCGGUAGGCCUAACACAUGCAAGUCGAACGGCAGCACAGUAAGCGCUUGCUCUUACGGGUGGCGAGUGGCGGACGGGUGAGGAAUACAUCGGAAUCUACUUUUUCGUGGGGGAUAACGGAGGGAAACUUACGCUAAUACCGCAUACGACCUACGGGUGAAAGCAGGGGAUCUUCGGACCUUGCGCGAUUGAAUGAGCCGAUGUCGGAUUAGCUAGUUGGCGGGGUAAAGGCCCACCAAGGCGACGAUCCGUAGCUGGUCUGAGAGGAUGAUCAGCCACACUGGAACUGAGACACGGCCCAGACUCCUACGGGAGGCAGCAGUGGGGAAUAUUGGACAAUGGGCGCAAGCCUGAUCCAGCCAUACCGCGUGGGUGAAGAAGGCCUUCGGGUUGUAAAGCCCUUUUGUUGGGAAAGAAAAGCAGCAGGUUAAUACCCCGCUGUUCUGACGGUACCCAAAGAAUAAGCACCGGCUAACUUCGUG
rnacentral:rRNA from 1 species